UACGAAGGAGGCUAGCGUUGUUCGGAAUUACUGGGCGUAAAGCGCACGUAGGCGGCUUUGUAAGUUAGAGGUGAAAGCCCGGGGCUCAACCCCCGGAAUUGCCUUUAAGACUGCAUCGCUUGAAUCCGGGAGAGGUGAGUGGAAUUCCGAGUGUAGAGGUGAAAUUCGUAGAUAUUCGGAAGAACACCAGUGGCGAAGGCGGCUCACUGGACCGGUAUUGACGCUGAGGUGCGAAAGCGUGGGGGAGCAAACAGG
rnacentral:rRNA from 1 species